rnacentral:rRNA from 1 species
AACGAACGCUGGCGGCAUGCCUAACACAUGCAAGUCGAACGAGACCUUCGGGUCUAGUGGCGCACGGGUGCGUAACGCGUGGGAACCUGCCCUUAGGUUCGGAAUAACUCCCCGAAAGGGGUGCUAAUACCGGAUAAUGUCUUCGGACCAAAGAUUUCUCGCCUUUGGAUGGGCCCGCGUUGGAUUAGCUAGUUGGUAGGGUAAAAGCCUACCAAGGCGACGAUCCAUAGCUGGUCUGAGAGGAUGAUCAGCCACACUGGGACUGAGACACGGCCCAGACUCCUACGGGAGGCAGCAGUGGGGAAUGUUGGACCAUGGGCGGAAGCCUGAUCCAGCACUGCCGCGUGAGUGAUGAAGGCCUUAGGGUUGUAAAGCUCUUUUACCCGGGAUGAUAAUGACAGUACCGGGAGAAUAAGCUCCGGCUAACUCCGUG